rnacentral:rRNA from 1 species
UACAGAGGGUGCGAGCGUUAAUCGGAAUUACUGGGCGUAAAGGGUGCGUAGGUGGUUGAAUAAGUUGGGUGUGAAAGUCCUGGGCUUAACCUGGGGAUUGCGCUCAAUACUGUUUAGCUAGAGUACUGUAGAGGAAGGUGGAAUUUCCAGUGUAGCGGUGAAAUGCGUAGAUAUUGGAAGGAACAUCUGUGGCGAAGGCGACCUUCUGGACAGAUACUGACACUGAGGCACGAAAGCGUGGGGAGCAAACAGG